UAAUUGUCCCCACGUGGAAAUCUACUGAUGGCUUCUGAUUUCAAAAUUGUUGGUUAUUUAUUCAUUUUCGGUGGAGAAAUAAGGAAAACAAAUAUCUAAUGUUUUUUUUAAUUCAGCAAAUAUCUCUUGUUCAAAUCUAACAAUAAUAAAAAUUGGAUAUACUCAACAGAAAAGUUGUCCACAUCACCUACAAAAAUCUGCCAAUGAAAAAAUGUUGUUUUGCCACAUCAAUCAUGUUACUCAAAAACUGCAUUAAAACAUUUCGAUUGAACCCAUAAAAAAAUUGCAUUAAAACAUUUAGAUUGAACCCAUAGUAACUAGACUAAUCUCUAUUGGUCCUCAAAACCCAAUCAAAAAUAAUUUAGUACGGCCCUAGAAAUAAAUCUAUACGGGACCCAUAUGAACUCUAUUGCACUUUAACCUAAUUUCGUCGCAAGCUUCCUGUCUUUCGCUUCUUCUUCAUCGUUACAACUUACAACUUUCUGCAUUUUCUUCCGUUUCUCUACUUUUGAUCAUUUAUUCCUCUUCUUUAAUCCCAUCUACGUGAGCAAUGAUAUCCUUUCAACUUCCUCUCUUUCUCCAACUACAUAAACCCAUCUGUCUGUUGAAGUUUUUUUACCGAACCAAAUUCUACAACCUUCGUUCCCCAAAAACAAUCGAUGGGCAUGAAAUUGGUUCAAACCUCCGGCAAGUCUCCGGUUGCUUUAUAUGUCAACGACGUUGGAUAAUGGGAGUCAUACUAAUCUCAACGGGUCCAUCAGCAUUGGAACUAUACUUCUGUUUGAUCCAUUUCUGGGAGGCCGGAACCGGUUCGAAAGGUGGAGCUCUUAUUGGCUUAGAGCUUCUCAUCAUCGCCGAACAGGUCUGAGUGUUUACCUCCACAGUUUCAUUACAGUAAAAAUUAUCAUAGUUAUGCAGAUUACUUGACAAAAUCAUAUACCUUCUCAAGUAUAAUUUCAGUUUUGUUUAAUACAGGUAUAAAUUAUUUUUAUACCAAAACUAUAAAGCCUAGAUUUUUACUAUGCUGAUAUAAGUGAAAAAAAAUCAAUGAAAAAAACCCAAUGAUUCGAAAAUGCCGAAUGAAAAAUUUGGUUGUAAUAGAUGCUCAAUAUAAAAGAAAAAACUUAUAUUAUUAACGGGUCUGGCGUUUUUGUUUUCGGACAUGCCACUCUGAUCCAAGCGUUCAUCUCAUCACAUCGUGCUCCACGGUACGAGCUUUGAGGAAUUUCUACGCAACGAAAAGCAAAGAGCUACGCAGCAACAAUGUUCUACAAAUUCACGGCCAGUGUCGACAACUCCCGUCAUCCUUUUAGUGGCGACUGUGAAUCCAAAUCGUAUCGGUGGGACCCUUUCCUUCAGCUCAAUGUCAUCAUCAGGUGUUUUCAUCGACAAAGAUUUCAACCCACAAUCGACUACUUCAAUUGUUGAAUUAUAACCCAGAGAUUGCUAAGGAAGUGAAUGCAUAGGAGGAGGUGACUAAAGCUGGGUCGGUGACAAUUGGAAAAAAUAUUUGCUUAUAUCAAGCAAGGAUCGGCCAAGGAGGCUUUCUUGAGUGCAUAGUGACAGUUGAUGAUGUUUAACCAUGAUUCUCCUUGGUAUUAUAUCGUUUGCAGUUAUUGCAAAACAGAGGCCAACAGAAGGCCCUUCUUCGUUUGUGCUCUAAAUGCAGCAAUGAAAACGUAACCGGGGUCAAAAAGCCGUGAGCUAACUGGAAAGCAUGCCUCCGGAUUGGUUGAUAAAUACUUUGAGGCUAAUGGUGAUCUUGGUCCUGACCAUGAGAUGCCUGCAUGUCCCACAAGCUUUGAUCGACACCAUUGGUCAAACACAUAGGUUCAAGGUGAAAGUUUUUGAAUACAAAGGAAGGACUCAGGCUAUAACAGUUAUGAAGGUUGUCUCUCCCGCAGUCCUGCAACCUUUAACAGCCCCAGUUGGAAUCCCACUUGCCACCACUUUUAAAGUGCCUCUAUUUUCUGCAAGUUGAUUAGGGUCCGUCCUUCAAAGACUGGAGACCUAGCUGAUGAAGAAAACGCCAGUACAAGUACUGUGACGAAGCACAGAGAGGAAAACGUGCUAAACUUGAGUAAUAGAGCAUUAACCACUAUCUUAUAGAAUGCACUCAUGCGUAAGAGUGUAGCUUAUCUUUUCAUUUUUAAUCCUGAGCUUUUGCCAAGUUUUUAUAUAUAUUUAACUAUGGCUUUACAUAUUACAUAUUUGCAAGCAGAUGACUUAUUUGAUAUUUCUUAAUGUUACAACUUCGUAUUAUCUGAUGAAUGUAUGCUAUCAAAAGACCAUUAUUUCUCUGUGUAUUUAAAUCAUUUCACAAAGUUCUCCUCUAUGGUUACUUAAAAGUCUCCCUUACUACAAGCUAGCAAUAGUUGCGCCAUUCAAUAUAAAAAGACCAUUAUUUAUCUGUGUAUUUUAUAUGAUCUAUAAUUUAUUAAAAAUGUACAUUUAUAUAAUUAUAAACAGGUUCGACAUACAUUUUAAAUUGGUUUAUAAAAUUUUAAAAAUUCUAAUAAAUAAUUUUAUAAACCUUUGUAAAAUAUAUAUAGACUCUUAUAACUAAUAGACUUUUAGCAAAUAAUCUUAUAAAUACUUCUAACUAGGGAUGGGCGUUUGGAUACCCGUUCGGGAUCGGAUCAGAUAUUUUGGAUUUUCGGGUAUAGAACCCGUUCGAGUAUUUCUAUAUUUCGGGUCGGGUUUGGAUUCGGUUAUUUCAGGUCGGGUUCGAAUAUUUAGAUUUUGAAAAAAAUCUAAAUUCUUUAUUGCUUAAGUUUCUUAAAUUUAAAAAUAUAUCUUUAACUUAACUGAUUUUUACUUUAAUAGAUAGAAUGAUUUAGAUUUGGAGAUAAAAUUAUAUGUAUAUUAAAAUACACUAAUUUGGUUAUUGUUUUGAAAUUUUAGAUGCAAUGUUUGUUAAUGGAUGAAACAAGAAGCUUGACAUGCCUUUAAAGUGAGUAGCAAAUCAUUUUGUCUGUAAUUAUAUGUAUGUUAUCUGAUCUUAAACUAUGUGUAGCAUUAAUAAAAAUAUUUUUAAACAAAAUGUAUAUAUUAGAAAUAUAGUGUCAAGUAUACAUAUGUUCGGUAAUUUUCGGAUAUCCAUUUAGGUUUGGAUAUCAAAUUUCUCCUAAUUCAAUACCAGUUUCGGUAUUUUGUUACUUCGGUUUGGAUUUCUAUUUGGGUUUUUUGGGUCAGGUUCGGAUAUGGGUUCGAAUAUCGGGUAAAAUACUCAACCCUACUUUGAGCUUUGCUAUUUCUCUAUAUUAUUGUCAAUCAAUUUUCAAAUAGUUGAUAACUAAUCUCAAAAGAUUAUAUAUUACUGC